rnacentral:rRNA from 1 species
AGUGAACGCUGGCGGUAUGCCUAACACAUGCAAGUCGAACGGCAGCACAGUAAGAUCUUGCUCUUACGGGUGGCGAGUGGCGGACGGGUGAGGAAUACAUCGGAAUCUACUUUUUCGUGGGGGAUAACGGAGGGAAACUUACGCUAAUACCGCAUACUACCUACGGGUGAAAGCAGGGGAUCUUCGGACCUUUCGCGAUUGAAUGAGCCGAUGUCGGAUUAGCUAGUUGGCUGGGUAAAGGCCCACCAAGGCGACGAUCCGUAGCUGGGCUGAGAGGAUGAUCAGCCACACUGGAACUGAGACACGGUCCAGACUCCUACGGGAGGCAGCAGUGGGGAAUAUUGGACAAUGGGCGAAAGCCUGAUCCAGCCAUACCGCGUGGGUGAAGAAGGCCUUCGGGUUGUAAAGCCCUUUUGUUGGGAAAGAAAAGCAGCAGGUUAAUACCCCGCUGUUCUGACGGUACCCAAAGAAUAAGCACCGGCUAACUUCGUG